AAAAAAAAGUUAUUUAAUUUCAGAAUACAGCCUCAGUUUUUCCCCACGGUUAAAUAGCCCCAUAAUUAUGGAAAUUUUUAAUAAUAAGAAAAACCGAAAAAAGAACACAUAAGUAACAGACCAAUUUAUUUAGCUUCACCAUAAGGAGCAAUCAUUUUAUGAAACCUAAUAUGUCAGUUCCAUUUGGUUUCUGAGAAAACAUAAGACAAGAAAAGCAACUUAUACGUUUGAAUAUCCACCUAAUGCACCUCAAAUGACUUGUCAUUUUGUUUAGCAAAUUUUCCUCAGCUAAUAUCAAAAUUCGCAAAAUUGUAAAUUACAUUAAACUCUUCCGGUUUCCUCCAGUUUCUCAUCCAACAAGCAGGAAAAAAAA
rnacentral:misc_RNA from 1 species